UAUUGAAUGGUGAUUGAUUGUUUGAUUGAAAUGAUGAUGUGGAGUGGGCCAUAUUAAUUCUAAUUAUAAUAUAAGUUAGAGUUAAUUACAUACAGAUUCCUACAAAUAUAAUGAAUUGCAAAUAUAUCCUUACAAAUUUUAUUUUUCAUAUAUUGUAUAUGCAAAAGUUCUGAUACUUUCAAAUAUGUCCUUAUAUUAGAAUCUGUUAGAAAAUUUUAGUUAAUCAUGAUUAGUUAAUGAGGUAAAUUUAUCUUUUCACCCCUUUUCAAUUAAGGGUCGGGAUUUUUGAAGGGACAUAUUUGUGACGACAAAAAGAUUAUUUUACUUAUAAAAUAAACAGUAUUUUAACGGUAACAAACUAGAGGAACAUAUUUGAAAAUAUUAGUACUUUUAUAACGAUAAUCAAUAAAAGUUGAACUUAGUAGGAAUAUAUUUGCAAAUCACAAUGUUUGCAGGAAUCUAUAUGAAAUUAACCCUAAAAGUAUAUAAGUUAAUACUACAGUUCUAUAAUAAUUACUUUUAUAGUAACAGGUUCAUGAACCUUAAUUUAGUAGAAUAAUGGGCUAAGAGCGUGUUUGUUUAGAUUGAAGUCUGAUGCGGAAGUCGUGAGUUCAUAUAACUCGAGAUCGUCAGUGUCCAGAGGUAACGUCGACUUUCGAUUCUCGUGCAGCGCAGAGUUCAAGUCACUACAACAGAAUUAGAUUAUAGGGACACAUGUUUAGAAUAAUUUUAUAUAAGUGUUCAAUUUAUGUCAAAACUUUAAAAAAAAAUCUACUAAUGUCUAAAUAUAAAGUCCAAUCCAACAAAAAAUAAAAGGCUACUCUACUCAACCCACCCCACCCAGCCCAUUCGGUCCGAUUACAAACAGAAAAAAAAAAGUAAAGAAAAAUCGAUUACCACUUCCCCUUCUCCCCUCACUCAAUCGACUGAAAUCCUAGACGAAGAUCCCUUCCUCUCGUCCUCCUCUGCCACCGCAGCCAACAAGGUAGAGUUCCGGCGGUUGCUAAAUGCUUAAAUAAAUAUUGAUAAAUUAGCAGCACUUUUUUAAAUUAUAGCGACACUUUUUAAUUGUCACUAUAUAUCUAGCGACCCCGCAUAUAGCAACACUUUUUAAAAGUGUCGGUAAUUUAGCCAGCAGCACUUUUUUUUGACCUGUACCGGCAUUUAAAAGUGUUGCUAUAAACCGUUUUUGUUGUAGAUAUAUGGUGCGAACUCGUUACUCUGCGCUCGUCACGUGCGAAGUCGAGUUC
rnacentral:lncRNA from 1 species